ACACAUGCAAGUCGAGGGGCAGCAUGGUCUUUUCUUGCUAAGGCCGAUGGCGACCGGCGCACGGGUGAGUAACGCGUAUCCAACCUGCCUUACACUCUUGGACAGCCUUCUGAAAGGGAGAUUAAUACAAGAUGUUAUCAUGAGUAAGCAUUUUCGCAUGAUUAAAGGUUUACCGGUGUAAGAUGGGGAUGCGUUCCAUUAGAUAGUAGGCGGGGUAACGGCCCACCUAGUCUUCGAUGGAUAGGGGUUCUGAGAGGAAGGUCCCCCACAUUGGAACUGAGACACGGUCCAAACUCCUACGGGAGGCAGCAGUGAGGAAUAUUGGUCAAUGGACGAGAGUCUGAACCAGCCAAGUAGCGUGAAGGAUGAAGGUUCUAUGGAUUGUAAACUUCUUUUAUACGGGAAUAAACGAAUCCACGUGUGGAUUUUUGCAUGUACCGUAUGAAUAAGGAUCGGCUAACUCCGUGCCAGCAGCCGCGGUAAUACGGAGGAUCCGAGCGUUAUCCGGAUUUAUUGGGUUUAAAGGGAGCGUAGAUGGGUUGUUAAGUCAGUUGUGAAAGUUUGCGGCUCAACCGUAAAAUUGCAAUUGAUACUGGCAGUCUUGAGUACAGUUGAGGUAGGCGGAAUUCGUGGUGUAGCGGUGAAAUGCUUAGAUAUCACGAAGAACUCCGAUUGCGAAGGCAGCUUACUAACCUGUAACUGACAUUGAUGCUCGAAAGUGUGGGUAUCAAACAGGAUUAGAUACCCUGGUAGUCCACACGGUAAACGAUGAAUACUCGCUGUAGGCGACAUACAGUCUGCGGCCAAGCGAAAGCAUUAAGUAUUCCACCUGGGGAGUACGCCGGCAACGGUGAAACUCAAAGGAAUUGACGGGGGCCCGCACAAGCGGAGGAACAUGUGGUUUAAUUCGAUGAUACGCGAGGAACCUUACCCGGGCUUAAAUUGCAACCGAAUAUGGCGGAAACGCUAUAGCUAGCAAUAGCGGUUGUGAAGGUGCUGCAUGGUUGUCGUCAGCUCGUGCCGUGAGGUGUCGGCUUAAGUGCCAUAACGAGCGCAACCCUUGCCGAUAGUUACUAACAGGUCAUGCUGAGGACUCUGUCGGGACUGCCAUCGUAAGAUGUGAGGAAGGUGGGGAUGACGUCAAAUCAGCACGGCCCUUACGUCCGGGGCUACACACGUGUUACAAUGGGGGGUACAGAGGGCUGCUACCACGCAAGUGGAUGCCAAUCCCAAAAACCUCUCUCAGUUCGGAUUGAAGUCUGCAACCCGACUUCAUGAAGCUGGAUUCGCUAGUAAUCGCGCAUCAGCCACGGCGCGGUGAAUACGUUCCCGGGCCUUGUACACACCGCCCGUCAAGCCAUGGGAGCCGGGGGUACCUGAAGUGCGUAACCGCAAGGAGCGCCCUAGGGUAAAACUGGUGACUGGGGCUAAAU
rnacentral:rRNA from 1 species